rnacentral:lncRNA from 1 species
AACCCCAGAAACGGCGCCCCACCCAUAACCCUCUUCUUCUUCUUCUUCGUUGAGCCAACCUUCAACUCGCCUGGAACUCAGGCGAGUUCACUCAAAUGGUCCCCUACCCUUCACGUUAUUUGAUUCCCAAUGGUUUCUGUCAGAAAAAUACGAAUAUCCUCUUCAAAUAUUUUUUCUACCGCACGAUUUGGUUAUUUUUUCUGUCGAUUUCAUAUUUAAGGUACAGCAUACUCAUCUGUGCCCUCUUAUUGGAUUUAUAAUUGAAAAUCUGAGUUUAUUCAUGUUACAUUUUUUUGUUUUGAAAUUAACAGAGCCAGCAGGUUUGGCUAUUGAAUUUGUCCAUUGCUUUCCCCUAUUUGUCUUCACUAUUUUCCGUGUGUUUGCAAGGCCAAUUGUUUGUAAUUGAAAUUACUGAACUUCCGAUAAUCUGGGUUCGAACUUGCUGAAAACAGUGCUACUAUGGUGUCAUUUUGUUUAUGUCUCAUCUUCCAAUUCAUUGUCACACCUGGUUCUAUUUGUUUGCCUUUAGGUAUUUGCAGUGCAAUCUAAAUUUUUUUUAUAUAAUGUGUUGACUAUGUGCUUGUGUUGCUUAUCCAGUUGCAAAUCUGGUCAUGCAUUAAAAUUGCCCGUAUGGAUAGAUGUUUAAUAUACUGUGUCAAGAUAUGCUAAGCAUGUUUGGCUGGCUAUAUUGGAAUUUAGAAGGAUGAGUAAUUUGGAUCUCUCAUUGUCCAAGAAUAAGGGAUAGAUACAUAUAUAAGGGAAUUUUCUUUGUUAAUGAAGAACUAGAGUUCUAAGUCUUCCAAUGACUUGCAAUCUGUUAUUGUUUUAACUACUCUACCCCUUUUGGAAUUGGAAUGUUAUUGCCAUGCUAUUGCUAUGUGAUGAAGAUACUUCCGGCUAAGGAUUACCAUCAAGUUAAACUUAAUUGGCAUAGUUGCACUGGUAGCUUGUUAAUUUUCCUUUCUCGUUGCUCUGUUUCUUGGUUUGCUUGUCUAUUGGUGAGAACAAAUAUUCUAUGAAUUGAAAAAUGGUUUUAUAAGUUGUUUACAUGGUGAGUCAGAAUCAAUAGGAAAUAUUCCAAAUGAGUUGGAACAGAUUCGGUCAAGAUUUGAGCUCUCAAGUGUAAUGGGCCGCCUUUAGUUCGGUAUGGAUGGGGGUUAAAAGAAGAGAAUUUUUCAUAAAGCACCAUCUUUUAAGUCUAAUUAGCCAUUUA